rnacentral:lncRNA from 1 species
UGCUAAUAAUAAUAAUGUUGUUAUACCUCCUUUGGCCUAAGCCACAUGGCACAUUAAGCCGCCUGUGGAGCACUCUCGAACACCCUUUUGCUCGCCACUAACUGGCUUGUCACCAAGAGACUAGUAGCAUGAAAGGCUUGAUUCUGACUAUCUCCCAUUUUCUUUAAAUGGAUCCUGGUUGAUCAUAAACCUCUUGUUUUCCCUGGAUGGUUUAUGGUCGAGCAUCCACCUAUUCAUUUUGGAAGGAUCUCGGCCACUAGUUCCUCCGGACAUUCACCCUUCUAUUGAAAAGGUGAUUCUUUAAGCCACCACAACUCAAAAAGAACGACAGAAUAUGUCUUAUUAAAUACAUCAUUCCCAUGCAUUCCACAAUGAUGGUCUAAUAACAAGACCACCAGUUACCACUACCAAGCACAGGACUUCCCCUGUAUAUACCUAUUAACACGAUGAAGAGGGGGAUUGACUCACAAAAUUCUAGCCUCCAUAUAGUCCUUUGCCACCUUAGUUUUAUUACAC